UGAACGCUGGCGGCAGGCCUACCACAUGCAAGUCGAGCGGAUGAAGGGAGCUUGCUCCUGGUUUCAGCGGCGGACGGGUGAGUAAUGCCUAGGAAUCUGCCUGGUAGUGGGGGAUAACGUCCGGAAACGGGCGCUAAUACCGCAUACGUCCUGAGGGAGAAAGUGGGGGAUCUUCGGACCUCACGCUAUCAGAUGAGCCUAGGUCGGAUUAGCUAGUUGGUGGGGUAAAGGCCUACCAAGGCGACGAUCCGUAACUGGUCUGAGAGGAUGAUCAGUCACACUGGAACUGAGACACGGUCCAGACUCCUACGGGAGGCAGCAGUGGGGAAUAUUGGACAAUGGGCGAAAGCCUGAUCCAGCCAUGCCGCGUGUGUGAAGAAGGUCUUCGGAUUGUAAAGCACUUUAAGUUGGGAGGAAGGGCAGUAAGUUAAUACCUUGCUGUUUUGACGUUACCAACAGAAUAAGCACCGGCUAACUUCGUG
rnacentral:rRNA from 1 species